rnacentral:lncRNA from 1 species
AUCUAUAAAUCUUUGUCAACAUUUUUUCUCCUUAGAAACAGAGACCUAGGCCAGGCGUGGCGGCUCACGCCUAUAAUCCCAGCACUUUGGGAGGACAAGGUGGGAGGAUCACUUGAGGUCAGGAAUUUGAGACCAGCCUGGCCAACACAGCGAAACCCAGUCUCAGCUGGGCGUGGUGGUGUGUGUACCUGUAAUCCCAUCUACUUGGGAGGCUGAGGCAGGAGAAUCGCUUGAACCCGGGAGGCAGAGGUUCCAGUGAGCCAAGGUCUCCCCACUGCAAUCCAGCCUGUGCGACAGAGUGAAACUCCAUUUAAAAAGAACAAAAACAAAAAACAAAACAAAAAGGAAACAGAGACCUAGAAGUGGUAUUACAGCAAAGGUUUUGAACAUUUUAAGGCUUUUGAGCGCCAGAUUCAGACACUCAGUAGUUUUACAUGAGAGUGCUACAACAUCCUCACUAAGUAGUAUUUGGGUUCAUCAUAAUUUUAAAUUAUUUUGGUGUGUCAAUUUGAACACUAGAGUGAUAUAAAAACUAAAAACUUGAAUUCAAUAAUUUUACAAUUGUAUUCCAUCUUAAAAUAUUUUAUGGUAAACUUGGAUAAAGUAUAUAAAUAAUCCAAGGGUGUAAAGUAGAAAGUGAAAGCUCCCUUCUCCCAGUUCCAGCCCCCUGAUGUUGCCAAUAUUAAACGUUGUAUAUCCUUGCA